CAGCACAAGGGCUGCCACUGUCCUGCCCCAGCUCCGUCACCAUAGCAACGGGAUAUUUGACCCCAUCUGUGGAAUCCUUGACCUGGAUGUAUAUCAACGAGGCAUCAAGGGAGCCUAUUGGCUGAAAGCUGCUGCUGUGCCAAAGCCGCAGAGGAGGGGUGACUGUGGCAGUGGUGAUGGGGUGUGGGCUCUGAGGGUCAGUAGCAGGCCGAGAAGAUGGGAGGAUUCUGGGGUCUGCUGCGGCUGACAGACUCAAAACAUCCCUUCAGCUGUGGCUUGUUGUGCCUUGAUCACUAGCUUUGGACAAUAAGGGUGUUACUUAAAGCAUAAAGACAUUCUGAUACCAUUCUGAUCUGAUACCACUAUCAUAUCUGUCUCUUAGAGCAAGGAGAAAUAAUUAAGGAUCUGACCCACGGUGACCUGCAUUCGAUGGACCUCUUCAGACCGUUUGGGGGCAGGAGGAGGGCACACUCCCACUAAUACAGGUACGGAGGGCGAAGGACUGGGAUAAA